CUUAUGAUUACCAAAGGGGAGAAGGAGGCAGGGGGUAAAUUAGGAGUAGGGGACUAGCAGAGACAAGCUACUUACACAGAAUAGAUAAGCAACAAGGAUUCACUGUAUAGUGCAAGGAACGAUAUUCAAUAUCCUGUACUAGCCUAUAAUGGAAAAAAAUCUGAAAAAGAUAGCUGAAUCACUUUUCUAUAAACCCAAAACUAACAUGAUAUUGUAAAUCAACUCCACUUCAAUUUAAAAACCUCUAUUGCAUAGAGGGUAGUUCUCCUAUUAAGAAUCUGAAGUCCUCUUUCAUUGCCCACUUGAGUGCCUUGUCUGUUGCUGUGAGAAACAGCACAAGUGAAGAGCAGCUGGCCCAUGUUUCCAUCAUGGCUGCAGGGAAUACAACCAGAGGAGAAAACCCCAUGUUCUGUGCCGACUUUCCUCCAAACCUGCUCACACUGAUGCCAGCUUCCCCAAGUCCACAGGCCUUUAGUUUGAGGUCCUUCACUGUGAAAGCAUCGGCAGGGCUGACAAGUGGAAAAUGGCAUGGAAUUUGCAUGUCAGGGCCAGUGGAGGUCUUCCUUGGCUCCUUGCAGCGUCUGGGAUCAGGCAAGAGUAAGAGCUCUGCACUGCUGGCCGGGCAUGGAGACGAGGGAUCAGCUGUGCCCAAGGCCGGGACCACAGUUUGUUCACUUGCUCAGAGCAUAACUUGUUGGUGUUGGGGGCUCCAGGCUGCAAGCAGGACAUGGCUGUCUCAAGCAUCUUAUUUCCUUGUCCUCUUAGCAGUUCAAAACCCCUCUUUGAAGAGUCAUGGUGGAGCCUGAAGCUUAUAGACUUUUGGGAUCCUUCAGAAAGAAAACAGUACAAAAAUAUCUUUUCUUUUGCAGAGUUUAUAAAAGUAUAUUACCUUGCCAGGACUUAAGUUUAAUUGAUGUCACAUAAAUCCAUUUUUAUCUGUGACCCUUGGGUUCUAUACUCUUGCAAGGUGUGGAGUGUCUUGAAGAUGUUUAUGAACUUCAUAUAGCCAAGAAAACCCAUGGCAGGCAAGGAAUGCAGCACCUCUGGCCUGUCACUCACUCAGCUGUACACGUGGGCCAGGAUGUAUCUAAACCAGCAGCCGUUUCUUGAGUGUUUCCUUUGUGCCAGGUGCUGUGAGCAAGGCCAGUGCUUUGAUGCUUCAUACUCUAGCGUAGCCAUCAUACUCUAGCAUAAUAUUUCAUUUUAUCCCUUCCCCAAAUAAUGUGAGCAUUAACUAGCCACUUUAAAAAAUUUUUUAUUUUAUUUUGGAGCAUAGUUGAUUAACAAUGUUGUGUUAGUUUCAGGCGUAUGACAAAGUGAUUCAGCUGUACAUAUACAUGUAUCUGUUCUUUUUCAAAUUCUUUCCCCAUUCAGGUUAUUCCAGAAUAUUGAGAAGCAUUGCCUGUGCUAUACAGUGGCUUGUUUAACCAGCUACUUUGAAUGACAGAAACUGGGGUGGAAGGAACACUUUUUUAAGGGCCUAUGUAUGAGUUUGCUGUUGCAGACUUUGCAUUAGCAGGGGGUUGCGGGGGGUGCUUGCAUUUUUUCCUGACAAGAUCUUGGUACCCUGUGACAAUGCCCACGGUGGCACUAGAAGGGCCUUGGCUUUUUGGGAUAUCCUGGCACGUGCCCUGCCCCCUCUCCCCCACCCCUGCCUCCAACAACCAGUAUCAGUGGCUGAAAACGACCAUGAUUACGUAGAUCCUAGUCCUUAACCAGGACAAUUCAUAGGAGUCAUCUGAGGCCCUUGAUAAAAAGGGCUGAUUUCUGGAGCUUUCCUGACUUCCUACAACAGACAUUACAGAGACAGAGCCUGUGAAUUUGUACUUUUAGCAAGUACUUUAGGUGUUUCUUAACACCAAGCAAGUUUGGUAUCACUGAACCAAAGAACGUGUGAAACACUUUCUAAGGUAAUAAGGGAAUGUGAGUUUUCACUGGGUAAAUUAAUUGCAUAGGUAGGAAAAGAGGGAGUGCCAUAAUAUUCCUAAUGAUGGGUGAUAAGAAGUAAAAAACAGAGAUAAUGUAAUCAUGCAUUUAUUGCUUGCCAGGUACUACACUAAGCAUCUAAUGACUAAAUCAUUUAAUGCUCCCCACAGAUCUUUGAGGUGGAGCCUUUUUAACCUCCUUUUUACAGAGGGAACACAUGGUAACUUGCCCAAGUCAUGUAGAGGAUGAACUCCAGAGCUGAACCUUGGCAGCAGGAUACUGGAGCCCAUAUGCUUUCUGCUAUUUUAUACAGACUGAAAUAUUGUCUAAUCCCGGAGAAGCUACACCGCUCAAUACGGAGGUUAGGAGAAGAGCCUAGAACACUCUGCCAGCUGCAAUGGAACCCCUUAAAGACACUCAGGUUCAAUAUCCAGGGUCCUGAGGCUGCUGUGGUGUGGAAGGCAGUGAAGUGGGAUAUCAUCAGGGUGAAUGUGGGUCUUGUGUGCGAGACACUGUGGGCCUCCCUGAGCAGUUUUCUGCACUCAUGUCCUUGAUCAUGUGAGAGGGGAUGUGGCCCUGGGUGACAGAGGCACCCGGGGACAGUGACAGGAGUCGUGUUGUGUACAAAUGCACCUACUGGGGAGGGUGGUUAACAGUGUGGCGUGGUAUCUAAGAGCCUUUGUUCCCUGUGUGAGCAUGUCCAUUUUCUUUUUUAAAAAUUGUAUAUGUUUAUUUAUUUUUAGCUAUGCUAGUUCUUUGUUGCAGUUUGGGCUUUUUUCUGAUUGUGGCGAGGAGGGGCUAGUCUCUGGGCUUCAGUAGUUGUGGCUCCCAGUCUCUAGAGAACAAAUUCAAUAGUUAAGGUGCUUAGAUUUAGUCACUCUGCGGCAUGCGGGAUCUUUCCUGGAACAGAGAUCAAACCCAUGUCUCCUGCAUUGGCAGGUGGAUUCUUUACCACUGAACCACUCAAGAAGCCCGACUGUGUCCAUUUUCUAUUGAUGCUGUAACAGAUUACUAUAAACUUGUAAGUCUAGAGUAACACCCACUUAUUUUCUCAGUCAUGUGGGUUGAAAGUUUAAGUAAAGUGUGGCCCUCUAUUUAGAGCCUCACAAGACUAAAAUCCAGAAGUUGGCUAGUUUGGGCUCUUAUCUGGGAGUUAGGGGAAAGUUCCGCUUUCAAACUCAUUCAGGUUGUUGGCUGAAUUCAGUUUCUUGCUAUUAUAGAAUUGAAAUUCUUAUUUGCUUAAUAAGUAACUCCUUUCAUCUUCAAAUAAAAAGUGGCAUA